rnacentral:rRNA from 1 species
UACGUAGGGUGCAAGCGUUAAUCGGAAUUACUGGGCGUAAAGCGUGCGCAGGCGGUUGUGCAAGACAGAUGUGAAAAUCCCCGGGCUCAACCUGGGAACUGCAUUGUGACUGCACGGCUGGAGUGCGGCAGAGGGGGGGGAUGGAAUUCCGCGUGUAGCAGUGAAAUGCGUAGAUAUGCGGAGGAACACCGAUGGCGAAGGCAAUCCCCUGGGCCUGCACUGACGCUCAUGC